GACAGAGGGUGCAAACGUUGCUCGGAAUUACUGGGCGUAAAGCGCGUGUAGGUGGAUUGGUGUGUCAGAUGUGAAAUCCCUGGGCUCAACCCAGGAACUGCACCUGAAACUACCAGUCUUGAGUGGUGGAGAGGGAAGUGGAAUUCCUGGUGUAGAGGUGAAAUUCGUAGAUAUCAGGAGGAACACCAGUGGCGAAGGCGGCAUCCUGGACCGGCAUUGACGCUGAGGCGCGAAAGCCAGGGGAGCAAACGGG
rnacentral:rRNA from 1 species